CUGGGCAAGUGAAAGGACCUCUCGGAGUCUCCGUGCCCUCAUCUGUAAAAUGAAGCCAACAAGAGCAAUUACCACGUGGGAUUGUCCUGAGAAGUAAAGGAGGUUAAUGUUCCUCAUCGCCUGAGGCCCGGUUGCAGUCUUUAAACCUGUUGUUUCAUGCACGGUGUCACGUUUGCUUUGUUGGUUUGAGACAGGAGUGUAGAAUCUAGUCCCUGUUACUCUUCACCUUGAGCGGAAGCCAGCGUUCCUUCCUUUGUUUUCUUGACUUGGGAUUUUAAGUAGUCUCCGAAGAAGGUCAAAAGCAAGAGCCCAGAGCCAUGGCCUGCCUCUCUGGUGCAGGUGAAGUUUAAUAAUAAAGGAAUCUCAUAAAAUAGGGUUUCCCUCAUGGCUCAGCCAUAAGGAAUCCGACUGCAAUGCAAGAGACACAGGAGAUGCCAGUUUGGUUCCUGGGUCAGGAAGAUCCCCUGGAGGAGGGCAUGGCAACCCACUCCAGUAUUCUUGCCUGGAGAAUCCCAUGGACAGAGGAGCCUGGCAGGCUACAGUCCACAGGGUUGCAAAGAGUUAGACAGGACUGAAGCGACUGAGCACGCAUGCAU
ensembl:lncRNA